rnacentral:rRNA from 1 species
GACGAACGCUGGCGGCGUGCUUAACACAUGCAAGUCGAGCGGUAAGGCCCUUUCGGGGGUACGACGAGCGGCGAACGGGUGAGUAACACGUGGGUGACCUGCCCUUAGCUCUGGGAUAAGCCUGGGAAACUGGGUCUAAUACCGGAUAUGACUCCAUGACGCAUGUUGUGGGGUGGAAAGCCUUGUGCGGCUAGGGAUGGGCCCGCGGCCUAUCAGCUUGUUGG